UACGUAGGGUGCGAGCGUUAUCCGGAUUCACUGGGUUUAAAGGGUGCGUAGGUGGAUCGGUAAGUCCGUGGUGAAAUCCCCGAGCUUAACUCGGGAACUGCCGUGGAUACUAUCGAUCUUGAAUACUGUGGAGGUAAGCGGAAUAUGUCAUGUAGCGGUGAAAUGCUUAGAUAUGACAUAGAACACCGAUAGCGAAGGCAGCUUGCUACACAGUUAUUGACACUGAGGCACGAAAGCGUGGGGAGCAAACAGG
rnacentral:rRNA from 1 species